ACGAACGCUGGCGGCGUGCCUAAUACAUGCAAGUCGAACGCUUCUUUUUCCACCGGAGCUUGCUCCACCGGAAAAAGAGGAGUGGCGAACGGGUGAGUAACACGUGGGUAACCUGCCCAUCAGAAGGGGAUAACACUUGGAAACAGGUGCUAAUACCGUAUAACAAUCGAAACCGCAUGGUUUUGAUUUGAAAGGCGCUUUCGGGUGUCGCUGAUGGAUGGACCCGCGGUGCAUUAGCUAGUUGGUGAGGUAGCGGCUCACCAAGGCGACGAUGCAUAGCCGACCUGAGAGGGUGAUCGGCCACAUUGGGACUGAGACACGGCCCAAACUCCUACGGGAGGCAGCAGUAGGGAAUCUUCGGCAAUGGACGAAAGUCUGACCGAGCAACGCCGCGUGAGUGAAGAAGGUUUUCGGAUCGUAAAACUCUGUUGUUAGAGAAGAACAAGGAUGAGAGUAACUGUUCAUCCCUUGACGGUAUCUAACCAGAAAGCCACGGCUAACUACGUGCCAGCAGCCGCGGUAAUACGUAGGUGGCAAGCGUUGUCCGGAUUUAUUGGGCGUAAAGCGAGCGCAGGCGGUUUCUUAAGUCUGAUGUGAAAGCCCCCGGCUCAACCGGGGAGGGUCAUUGGAAACUGGGAGACUUGAGUGCAGAAGAGGAGAGUGGAAUUCCAUGUGUAGCGGUGAAAUGCGUAGAUAUAUGGAGGAACACCAGUGGCGAAGGCGGCUCUCUGGUCUGUAACUGACGCUGAGGCUCGAAAGCGUGGGGAGCAAACAGGAUUAGAUACCCUGGUAGUCCACGCCGUAAACGAUGAGUGCUAAGUGUUGGAGGGUUUCCGCCCUUCAGUGCUGCAGCUAACGCAUUAAGCACUCCGCCUGGGGAGUACGACCGCAAGGUUGAAACUCAAAGGAAUUGACGGGGGCCCGCACAAGCGGUGGAGCAUGUGGUUUAAUUCGAAGCAACGCGAAGAACCUUACCAGGUCUUGACAUCCUUUGACCACUCUAGAGAUAGAGCUUCCCCUUCGGGGGCAAAGUGACAGGUGGUGCAUGGUUGUCGUCAGCUCGUGUCGUGAGAUGUUGGGUUAAGUCCCGCAACGAGCGCAACCCUUAUUGUUAGUUGCCAUCAUUUAGUUGGGCACUCUAGCAAGACUGCCGGUGACAAACCGGAGGAAGGUGGGGAUGACGUCAAAUCAUCAUGCCCCUUAUGACCUGGGCUACACACGUGCUACAAUGGGAAGUACAACGAGUCGCAAAGUCGCGAGGCUAAGCUAAUCUCUUAAAGCUUCUCUCAGUUCGGAUUGUAGGCUGCAACUCGCCUACAUGAAGCCGGAAUCGCUAGUAAUCGCGGAUCAGCACGCCGCGGUGAAUACGUUCCCGGGCCUUGUACACACCGCCCGUCACACCACGAGAGUUUGUAACACCCGAAGUCGGUGAGGUAACCUUUUGGAGCCAGCCGCCUAAGGUGGGAUAGAUGAUUGGGGUG
rnacentral:rRNA from 1 species